CUGGCGGCGUGCUUAACACAUGCAAGUCGAACGCGAACGUUUCCUUCGGGAAACUAGUAGAGUGGCGCACGGGUGAGUAACGCGUAAGUAAUCUACCCUCGCAUCUGGGAUAACCCACCGAAAGGUGUGCUAAUACCUGAUACGUCUGGAAUUAUACUUUGAAUCUAGAGAAAGGUGGCCUCUUCAUGAAAGCUACUGUGCGGGGAGGAGCUUGCGUACCAUUAGCUAGUUGGUAGGGUAACGGCCUACCAAGGCGAUGAUGGUUAGCGGGUCUGAGAGGAUGAUCCGCCACACUGGAACUGAAACACGGACCAGACUCCUACGGGAGGCAGCAGUGAGGAAUAUUGCGCAAUGGGGGCAACCCUGACGCAGCGACGCCGCGUGGAUGAUGAAGGCCUUCGGGUUGUAAAAUCCUGUCAGAUGGGAAGAAGUGCUAUAGUGUUAAUAUCGGUAUAGUUUGACGGUACCAUCAAAGGAAGCACCGGCUAACUCCGUGCCAGCAGCCGCGGUAAUACGGAGGGUGCAAGCGUUGUUCGGAAUUACUGGGCGUAAAGCGCGCGUAGGCGGCUAUUCAAGUCAGAUGUGAAAGCCCGCGGCUCAACCGUGGAAGUGCGUUUUGAAACUGGAUGGCUUGAGUACUGGAGGGGGUAGUGGAAUUCCC
rnacentral:rRNA from 1 species